GGUGCUUGCACCUUUCAAGCGAGUGGCGAACGGGUGAGUAACACGUGGAUAACCUGCCUCAAGGCUGGGGAUAACAUUUGGAAACAGAUGCUAAUACCGAAUAAAACUUAGUAUCGCAUGAUACAAAGUUGAAAGGCGCUACGGCGUCACCUAGAGAUGGGUCCGCGGUGCAUUAGUUAGUUGGUGGGGUAAAGGCCUACCAAGACAAUGAUGCAUAGCCGAGUUGAGAGACUGAUCGGCCACAUUGGGACUGAGACACGGCCCAAACUCCUACGGGAGGCUGCAGUAGGGAAUCUUCCACAAUGGGCGAAAGCCUGAUGGAGCAACGCCGCGUGUGUGAUGAAGGCUUUAGGGUCGUAAAGCACUGUUGUAUGGGAAGAAAUGCUAGAAUAGGGAAUGAUUCUAGUUCGACGGUACCAUACCAGAAAGGGACGGCUAAAUACGUGCCAGCAGCCGCGGUAAUACGUAUGUCCCGAGCGUUAUCCGGAUUUAUUGGGCGUAAAGCGAGCGCAGACGGUUGAUUAAGUCUGAUGUGAAAGCCCGGAGCUCAACUCCGGAAUGGCAUUGGAAACUGGUUAACUUGAGUGUUGUAGAGGUAAGUGGAACUCCAUGGGUAGC
rnacentral:rRNA from 1 species